rnacentral:piRNA from 1 species
UAGAACUCGGUGUCAAUGGUGGCCUCAUC